GAUGAACGCUAGCGGCAGGCUUAACACAUGCAAGUCGAGGGGUAUAGGUUUUCGGACCUAGAGACCGGCGCACGGGUGCGUAACGCGUAUGCAAUCUACCUUUUACAGAGGGAUAGCCCAGAGAAAUUUGGAUUAAUACCUCAUAGUAUUAUUGAAUGGCAUCAUUUAAUAAUUAAAGUUCCAACGGUAAAAGAUGAGCAUGCGUCCCAUUAGCUAGAUGGUAAGGUAACGGCUUACCAUGGCGACGAUGGGUAGGGGUCCUGAGAGGGA
rnacentral:rRNA from 1 species